rnacentral:rRNA from 1 species
AGAGUUUGAUCAUGGCUCAGAUUGAACGCUGGCGGCAUGCUUUACACAUGCAAGUCGAGCGGCAGCGCGGGGGCAACCCUGGCGGCGAGCGGCGAACGGGUGAGUAAUGCAUCGGAACGUACCCUGGAGUGGGGGAUAACGCCGCGAAAGCGGCGCUAAUACCGCAUAUGCUCUGAGGAGGAAAGUGGGGGACCGCAAGGCCUCACGCUCUGGGAGCGGCCGAUGUCCGAUUAGCUAGUUGGUGGGGUAAAGGCUUACCAAGGCGACGAUCGGUAGCUGGUCUGAGAGGAUGAUCAGCCACACUGGGACUGAGACACGGCCCAGACUCCUACGGGAGGCAGCAGUGGGGAAUUUUGGACAAUGGGGCAACCCUGAUCCAGCCAUGCCGCGUGAGUGAAGAAGGCCUUCGGGUUGUAAAGCUCUUUUGGUCGGGAAGAAAGCGCCUUGCCUAAUACGCGAGGUGGUUGACGGUACCGGCAGAAUAAGCACCGGCUAACUACGUG